UACGGAGGGGGCUAGCGUUGUUCGGAAUCACUGGGCGUAAAGCGCACGUAGGCGGCGUGUUUAGUCAGAGGUGAAAGGCCCGGGCUCAACCCGGGAACGGCCUUUGAUACUGGCACGCUCGAGUCCGAGAGGGGGUGGUGGAACUCCCAGUGUAGAGGUGAAAUUCGUAGAUAUUGGGAAGAACACCGGUGGCGAAGGCGACCACCUUGCUCGGAACUGACGCUGAGGUGCGAAAGCGUGGGGAGCAAACAGG
rnacentral:rRNA from 1 species